rnacentral:rRNA from 1 species
ACGCUAGCUACAGGCUUAACACAUGCAAGUCGAGGGGAAACGGCAUUAAGUGCUUGCACUUUUUGGACGUCGACCGGCGCACGGGUGAGUAACGCGUAUCCAACCUUCCCAUGACUAAGGGAUAACCUGCCGAAAGGCAGACUAAUACCUUAUGGUCUUCACUGACGGCAUCAGAUGUGAAGUAAAGAUUUAUCGGUUAUGGAUGGGGAUGCGUCUGAUUAGUUAGUUGGCGGGGUAACGGCCCACCAAGGCAACGAUCAGUAGGGGUUCUGAGAGGAAGGUCCCCCACAUUGGAACUGAGACACGGUCCAAACUCCUACGGGAGGCAGCAGUGAGGAAUAUUGGUCAAUGGGCGAGAGCCUGAACCAGCCAAGUAGCGUGCAGGAUGACGGCCCUAUGGGUUGUAAACUGCUUUUGUAUGGGGAUAAAGUCAAUCACGUGUGAUUGUUUGCAGGUACCAUACGAAUAAGGACCGGCUAAUUCCGUGCCAGCAGCCGCGGUAAUACGGAAGGUCCGGGCGUUAUCCGGAUUUAUUGGGUUUAAAGGGAGCGUAGGCUGGAGAUUAAGUGUGUUGUGAAAUGUAGACGCUCAACGUCUGACUUGCAGCGCAUACUGGUUUCCUUGAGUACGCACAACGUUGGCGGAAUUCGUCGUGUAGCGGUGAAAUGCUUAGAUAUGACGAAGAACUCCGAUUGCGAAGGCAGCUGACGGGAGCGCAACUGACGCUGAAGCUCGAAGGUGCGGGUAUCGAACAGGAUUAGAUACCCUGGUAGUCCGCACAGUAAACGAUGGAUGCCCGCUGUUGGUACGUGGUAUCAGCGGCUAAGCGAAAGCAUUAAGCAUCCCACCUGGGGAGUACGCCGGCAACGGUGAAACUCAAAGGAAUUGACGGGGGCCCGCACAAGCGGAGGAACAUGUGG